rnacentral:lncRNA from 1 species
GGAGUCUUCUUAUGAAAGAAACACGUCUCCCAAGGCUUUGGCUGCCAUAGGUAGUGAUUCCCGUGGUGACCUGGGCAAAGUCGUCUGAAAAUAUCUGGGAGAGGAUCGCCCCUCUAGCUGCCGUCAGAGCAGGUGUGACUCAUGGAAGAGGUUAAAAUAUCCACUUUAGUGGGAGUUUGGAAGAAACAGAUCCAGAUCGUCCUGGAUGACUUUGAAGGGUUCAAGACGUCAGUGGAGGAAGCAGCUGCAGGUGUGGAGCAAAUAGCAAGAGAACCAGAAAUAGAAGCCUGCAAACGUGACUGAACUGCUGCCAUCUCGUGAUAAAGCCUUAGCAGAUGAGGAGCUGCCUUUUAUGAAUGAGCAAAGGAAGUGGUUUCUUGAGAUGGAAUCAGCUCUGGUGAAGAUGCUGUGAAGAUGUUGAAAUGACAACAACGGACUUAGACUACUCCAUAAACUGAGCUAAGCAGCAUGGGGCUUGAGAGGCUGAGUCCGACUUUGAAAGAAGUUCUAAUGUGGGGAAAACGCAAUCAGCAUUGCGUGCUACAGAGAAAUCGUGCAUGACAGGAAGAGUUAAUGCAUUUGGUAGCCUUCGUCGUGGUCUUAUUUUAAGAAAUUGCCACAGCCAGCCCAGCCUUCAGCAGCCCCCGCCCUGAUCCAUCAGCAGCAUCAAUGUGCAGGCAGGACCCUCCACCAGCAAAAAGACUGUGACUCACUAAAGCCUCAGAUGAUUGUUCAACCUCUUUAGCAAGAAAACACUUUUUAAAAUUAAGGUAUGUAUGUGUUUUGUUUUUGUCUUUUGUCUUUUUAGGGCCACACCUGUAGCAUAUGGAAGUACCCAUGCCAGGGGUCGAAUUGGAGCUGCACCUGCUGGCCUACUCCCCCGGCACAGCAACGCCAGAUCCGAGCUGCGUCGGCAGCCUGUUCUGCAGCUCGACAGCAACGUGCAGGGAUUGAACCCGCAUCGUCAUGGAUACUAGUCGGGUUCGUUACUACCGAGCCACAAUGGGAACUCCGGUAUGUACAUGUUUUUAAACAUGUAAUGGUAUUUUGCACUUAAGAGAGACUACAGGAUGGUGUAAACACAGUUUUUACAUGCACUGGGAAACCAGGACAUUCCCGCGGCCUGCUUUAUUGUGGGGGGCUGGAACCAAACCCACAAUAUCGUCGAGGUAGAACUGGACACGAGGCAGGAUUGUUGUUUUUAUUGUUGUGGGUUACAAGACUUAUCCUAAUAAAUAAUUAAUUUCUGCCCCUUAGACGGUACCUCACCCUUUUCUCAGAAGUUCAGGGAAUUUGGAGGGGAGCCCGCUGAGCAGGAUGCUGGUUGCUUCCUCGGAAGUCUUUGGCCUUGUAAGGAGCUGUGUGCCAGGCACCGUCUGUGGAGAUGAUUCUGUCAACGUGGUGUCCCUUCUGGGCAGCACGAGGAUGAGCCAAAAGCACAGGAUCCCCGUAGACCAGGCUUCUGCCCUGGGAUGUUUCAUGGAAUUUCCUCAGGUCAAGAGAUGCUAUUGGGAAGAUCCUUUCUGACCCUUGAUAACUGUGAGACACUUCAGACAAAAUCAGCUGGUCUCUGUUGGCUGAUUUAGAGCAAGUAAACUAAGCUCUGAGCUUCAGCUUCCUCCUCCCAAAAAUGGCGUUGAUGAUAUAUACUAUACGUAUCAUAGGGCGGUUUGAGAGUUGAAAGAAACAAAGCAUGAAAAUAGCGCAAUGCCUACCAUAUAUUAAGCCUUCAGUAACUGACAAGCAUUCUUUAUAUUUUUAACAAAGAUAAACUAUGGAUCAGCCCUUGGUUGGUUGGCGAAAUUCUUGUUCUUUCCAGAAGCACUCAAGCUGGGAAUAAUAAGUUAUUUCAUUAGGGAUGUGUCAGAUUUGCUGUUGGGAAAAAGCUUUAGAACACGGUACCGUGAACACAGCCAAAGAAGCAAAGCAAACAAAAUAUCGUUAUCACAUCCAUAACCACCCCUGGAAGGCUUUUCCUCAUAGGCAUACCUCCAAUAUUAGUUGAAUUGAGGAGACAUCGGUGCUGGAAGAAGAUCACUUGUUGGCAGUGAGUAAAUGCCUUCUAUAAUUUAUCUCACCUUUCAUUGCCUUUUUUUCUAGAGAAUAGCUUUAGAAGAUCCUUCUUUUUUGAAUAUUGCAAAGAAUUUUAAUUCAUAAUGAAAGUAUUAAGCGAAAUAAUAAUAAAACAAUUUUUAAAUAAAACAUUUAAAACAAUUUAAAAACACAGCAGGGCAUAAAAGAGCAUUGCAAUGUUUGUAUAAAUACACACAUUGUAAACUUCGCAGCUUCGGGAAGCCACACUUUUACAUUCUGGAGCUGUGCACUUACAGGCAAAUAAAAGAAGGCAAAGGAACAAAUUCUUACAUAGAGUUACAGCCUGGACAGCUACUUCCCUAGAGUUUUAUCACCAAAGAGAAAAUAAGUAAUUUUUACAAAGUUGAAAAAAUAGAAACAAUUCUUUGCUUUUCAAAGUAUCCAAGAAUUAUACUUCAGGAAGUUUUUUUUCCUUUGAAGUUCAGUUUCAGUGUGCACCCUAAAACUGUAAACAGAGAUACAGAUGAAACAGUACAAAUCCACAGUCCUCAUCAGUGUACUUGGCUACAAGAAUCAAUUAGGUGCUCAGAGCUGGGGUGGGGAUGGUGUCAGCUGCUGUGUGUUGCGUUUGCUGCGUGUCCCAGGCUGCCGGUAGUGGCCUUCUCUUUACUAGCGGUUCUUGGACUUUCAAGGAAGGUGUGUACUAUGUUCUGCCGUGAAUUUAUAGCCCAUGGAUGAAACCCGGGUCCUAAUUUCAAAGCACUGUUAUUCCUGUUGGCGAGAUGACAGCAUUUGUGGUGCCCUCGGCUCCGUGGCACACGGGGCUCCGCGCUGCAGCCACUGGGACAAACUAGGAAAGACCUUUGUCCUAUAAGCUGUAUUUUCUGGUUGAAAGAGUGGGACAUCUGUAAGUUCAAGACUGACCUGAGGACAAAACGAUUUUCGUCGUGGUCUGGCUGUAGGGAAGGAUGUAAAAUUUACCCAAGUUUCGGAUCAGCCCCUUCCUGCUGGAGCCCAGCCCUCACUGUUGCGCUCAAACUUGAACGUGUGUUUGAGUCACCGAGGGAGCUUGUUAAAAUACGUAUUCUUGUUUCUUGGGUCUGGGGGGCCAAGAUGCUCAGCGGCUGGCAAGGUUUCGGGGGGAAGGCAGCUCUGUCGGCCCACAGAGCGCAGCCAGAAACAAGUGUCGGGAGCCGAGGUUGCCAGAGUCCCCUGGGAACUUCCUUCAGUCUCCUUUGCAGAUGGCAGAUUGCCCGCCCACGCGAGGCUCUGGGGCUUUUCCCCUGCGCCCAGACUCCCGGCCCACAGUCAGUGGGGUCGGGAGAGCCCCGCCCGCUUGCAGUGGGACCGCUGCUCGCCCCGCUCGGGGCGGGGAGGACGGUGAGAGCAAGGAUGAAAGACAGGAGUACACGUGUCACCGGAAUCAUGCCGCCCCGCUCGUGUUCCGAGUGUCCCUCCAAGUCACAUGAUAGACCAAGGUUCUGGGGUUUCCCGAGGACUUUCGAAAGGCAGCUUGAGAGAAAGUGCAUCUGUCUGAGUUCUCCUGGUUGGGCCAUCAGUUCUACUGUGACAGUGUCUGUCUUCCUGGCACCUGGCACUAGGCCGUACAGUCCAGGAGGUAAACAUUAUAAUGUGUGUCAGCCACUAAGAAAGAAGAGACAAGGGCAGAUAAUUUCCUGUAAUCUCUUAAAUUUUUAUUUUGAAAAACUGCAAUCCUUGAGAAAAGUUGAAACAUUGGUACCACAGAGUCACCACUUUUAUUUUAUUUUAUUUUGUGUCUUUGCCAUUUCUUGGGCUGCUCCCACGGCAUAUGGAGGUUCCCAGGCUAGGGUUCAAGUCGGAGCUGUAGCCACUGGCCUACACCACAGCCACAGCCACAGCAACGCGGGAUCUGAGCCGCGUCUGCCGCCUACACCACAGCUCACGGCAACGCCAGAUCCUUAACCCACUGAGCGAGGCCAGGGAUCGAACCCGCCACCUCAUGGUUCCUAGUCGGAUUCGUUAACCACUGCGCCACGACGGGAACUCCACUGCUUUUAAAUAUUUGACCAUAUCCUUCCCGUUUGGUGCUGCUGUUGAACCACUUGCAAGGAGAAGCCAUUGUGACACUCCAGCCCAAACGUUCAGUGCGUGUCAUUUGAGGACUCUCCACAGUGACUCUGACGGCAGCAUCCUCAAGACAUUUAAUAUAUAUGACCAUGCAAACUCUCCCUCUUGAAAUAAAAAUGCCUUUUACAGCUCUCCAUAUUGACAGGUUUUAUUUUUUAAAUUAUUUUUAAAAAUUGAAGUAUAGGUUAUUUACAGUAUUAUAUUAGUUUCAGGUGUAUAGCAUAGCGAGUCCAUAUUUUUAUAGAUUAUCCUCCAUUUAAAGUCGUAAGGAUAGAUUUUGUCAUUCAGACUCUACUAAAAUAUCACUAAGCCGUCUCAGUCAAUAAUUCUUAAAGUGUUGUAUUUCUUCCUUUGGUGGAGUGGAGUUAAAACCUUUGUGCUUUUUUUCCCCAAAAUUUAUCAAAAAAAAAAGCAAAACAAACCCACUGCAGUUGAGAUACACUGCCAUUGCCUCGGACCAAGUACUGUUGGUUUAGGGAUUUCUUACGUUGAGCCAACCCAUGGAAAACAGGAAAUUACAUGCGUGGAGUACUGAGCAGUUAACGUGUGGUCAUCAUCUUCCGUGUUAGUAGCUUCUGCUUUUACCCAAAGGUACUGCAACUAUGUGAGCAUAUGACGGAUGAGAUCAGAUGAGAUGGAUGCCUGUCUUUUCUAAGCAGAGCUUUCUUUAGGAUUGAUUCCUGCCGCUCUCCUAGCUACACGGGAAGUAUUUUUAAGGAUAUGCCACCGUGACUUUUCAGCAGUUUCUUUUAGCCUGCUUGAUGAUCUUUUAAUGGAAGUAAAGCUAUAUGUAAACAUAUAAUCUUAGAAAUUGAGGUUUUUCUUUUUUUCAUUCUCAUUAGGAAAAUUUUUUUUCUUUUUUUUCUUUUUGUCUUUUUAGGGCCACAUCCGCGGCACAUGCAGGUUCCCAGGCUAGGAGUCCAGAAGGAGCUACAGCUGCCGGCUUACACCACAGCCACAGCAAUGCGGGAUCCUUAACCCACUGAGUGAGGCCAGGGAUGGAACCUGAGUCCUCAUGGAUCCUAGUCGGGUCUUAACCGCUGGGCUACGGCGGGAACUCCCCCUCCGGAAGUACUAUGGGCUGAUAAAACGUGUUGUGGCCUACCAAGCGUCUUCUUUGGGAACACGCAUCUGAACCAGCCCUUCCCCACCACGGCUCUCAAAUCCUGCCCCUGUGGCUUUGGGGUGCGUCGUCUGUCAUUCUUGGUGGGAUGGGGAACGCGUGACAACAACCUCCCGGGCUCGGGCUCGUUAGGAUUGGAUGAGAGGAGGCGGACGGCAUGCUCAGCGCAGGGCCUGGAGUGUACUCAUCCCUCAGCGGAUGGGAGCCCAGACUUUAAUAAGAACCGCUCUUGUCGCUGCCACGACUGUGACCUCGGUUCCGCGUUCGGGCCAAAGAGGUCGCCUGUACGCAGACGGUGAGGGGCUGAGGUGGCCAGCGCGGUGGGCGGAGGAGCGCGACCCGGGUGGCUCAGGAUGGGACCCGCGUCCCGUUCCCAUCCGGCGGUGCCACGUGCCUGCUGUAGGACACUGGCAAGUCGGUUCGCUCACCUUCACGUCGGGGCGACGAGCGGGGGCGACGAGCGGUGCCUGCCUCACUGGGGGUGUCGUGGGUGAAAUGAGACGAGGAUGCAAAACGCUUUGCCCAACGCCUGGCCCGGAGUCGGGUUUCGGUACAUUUCCGCCAAGAUAAAGGUGGUGUCCGGAGCCUCUGAGCAGGUGAAUUUCCUAGUGAGACCGAAUCUUCUGAACGGCUCCUCCAAGCAGGGCUUCUGGUUUCGUCCAGGGCCGGUCUCCCGGUCUGAUGCCGGGAUCUCCUGCCCUGACGCGGCCGCCGGCUCCCCUCACCUGUCCCUGGUCUCUGCGCCGCCGCCGCAGUUAGGUGGCCGCAUCCGGGUAGUUUUCUUACCUGUUUGUUGCAGAUAGAGUCCCCAUUGAUCCUUUUCAUAUGUUUAAGUUCCUUUCUCAAUAAUUGUUCCUAUGGUUUGUCCUGUUUUUAUCAGGUUUUAAGAUUACAGUUAUGCUAACUCCCUAAAAUGAAUCAGGGAGUUGGCAGCUUUUUCUGUGGCUCCGAAGAACACAAAUAACAUAAAUAUCACCUGUUUUGACAGAUUAAAUAGAACCCAAUUACAGAACUAUCUGGUCUUGGUACAUGCUUCUGUGGCGUAUCUUCUUUUCUUUAUGGGAGACUUUUCAUUCUCUCUCCAGUCUAGCAGUUUGUAAUUAUGGGUCUCUUCAGGGUUUUUUUGUUUUGUUUUUUUACCUUUUCUUAGGACAACUUUGAUACCUUCUAUUUUC